GCAGUCACAGAACAGUGGAACACAACACCUGUGCAGCCCUCACCCCUCACCUGGAAGGGCCUAAGGAAUGAGGUAGUGGUCCUGGUGGCAGUGGUCAUCGCGUGAGGGGCUUGGGCUCAGCCACCCACUGUUGCCUGGGUUGAAGUAUGGCUUCCUGGGCGCUGCGGAUGAAAUUUCCAGUAGAAAAGCUUCCUCUCUAUUUUGUUGUGGAGGAUGACGGUUAUUUUGUUAAUCUGACAUCUCCUUAUUUUGUCACCAUAGACGAAGUAAACAAUAGAACAAACUGGAUAAUUUCAGGUACCAAUGAAACGUUAAGUUUGAUGAAACUAAGGACAUACUUGGAGAAGAAGAUCA